AUGCUCGUGGGCCACCGGGGCCGCUGGCUGGGCAUAAGCAGCUGCUUGGGCUCCUUCUGUGCUGCAAUGUGUCACUGCAUUUAUAUCUUUGGUGGUGGGACCCAGCUGACCAUCCUCAGCCAGCCCAAGGUCUCCCCCACCGUCCACCUCUUCCUACUGUCCUCUGAUGAGCUCUCAGCACAGAACAAAACCAUGCUGGUGUGUCUGCUGGGAGACUUCUACCCCAGCACCGUGCAGGUGGCCUGGAUGGCUGAUGGCACUACCCUCAGCAGUGACAUCAUGACCAGCCAGCCCCAGCGGCAGAGCAACAACCAGUACAUGGCCAGCAGCUACCUGACGCUGAGUGCCACCAACUGGGAGAGCCACAAGACCUACACCUGCAAGGUCACGCACGAGACUGGCACCAUUAAGAAGGUUCUGAAUAGAUCUGAGUGCUCCUAA